AAAUUUUUUUUUUCUAACUUCCGGCAACCAAAGAAGAGUUUUAAGCGUUUAACCAUCCAAAAGUAAUUAAGAAUUCCCUACUCCCCUCAUUAACCGAAACAGAUCCAGAUGCAUUAAUGGAGGCUCCACUAUUUAGGAAAAUUGUAGUUAUUUACUAAUCCUGUGGGUUUCCCCCCCAAAAGAACGAAGUCAAAACAAACAACUAAUUAAGAUCACUGAAAAUGACUGAAAU
rnacentral:lncRNA from 1 species